CACGUGGGCAAUCUGCCUCGAAGUGGGGGAUAACAUCGGGAAACCGGUGCUAAUACCGCGUAAUAUCCAGGGAUCGCAUGUUUCCUGGAUCAAAGGUGGGGAUCUUUCGGGACCUACCGCUUUGAGAGGAGCCCGCGGUCGAUUAGCUUGUUGGUGGGGUAAUGGCUCACCAAGGCAAUGAUCGAUAGCCGACCUGAGAGGGUGACCGGCCACACUGGGACUGAGAUACGGCCCAG
rnacentral:rRNA from 1 species